rnacentral:misc_RNA from 1 species
GAUGAAAACGUAGCGAAAUGCGAUACGUAAUGUGAAUUGCAGAAUUCAGUGAAUCAUCGAGUCUUUGAACGCACAUUGCGCCCCCUGGUAUUCCGGGGGGCAUGCCUGUCCGAGCGUCAUUGCUGCCCUCAAGCACGGCUUGUGUGUUGGGCCUCCGUCCUCCUCCCGGGGGACGGGCCCGAAAGGCAGCGGCGGCACCGCGUCCGGUCCUCGAGCGUAUGGGGCUUCGUCACCCGCUCUUGUAGGCCCGGCCGGCGCUUGCCGACACAUCAAUCUUUUUUCCAGGUUGACCUCGGAUCAGGUAGGGAUACCCGCUGAACUUAAGCAUAUCAAUAAGCGGAGGA